GUGCUCUCAGCAACAACGCUUGUAAUGAGCGAGGGAGGCAGGGCUGGGCAGAGGGAGAAGCUGAGCCCUGAGGCAGUCAGAACAGAGAUCUCAGCCAGACCCACAGAAAGCUCUGGAAGAGGGGUGAUGCUUCAGUGUUGUCCAAGUUUAGGUAAGGGGCUGGCUUUUGUACUCCUGUUUGGAGCAGGAGUUGGGUGUGGGCUGCUCCCCAGUGUGUGUGUGUGUGUGUGUGUGUGUGUGUGUGUGUGUGACAUCGCACAAUGCAGCUCCCCUGGCUGAGGCCCAUUUCUGGCUGGAGGCUCUGCUGUGAGCUGUCAGCUGCCACCACUGCUAGCAGCUGGGGGAAUGAGUACCUCUGUCCUGAAGGGGGACCUGGACGGCACACCCACGGCCUCGGUGCCCUCAUGUCUAUUGCAGCAUUUCCUGUCCUCUUCUUACCUAACUUCGCAGAAGCUUCAGCACGGUUGACCACUCCCUCCUAGAAAAGAGCCCUUCCUUGGUUCCCAGGAGACCACACCUUUGUUUUUUUCUUCUAUCUCUCUGGCCGUUUCUCCUUAUUCCCUUUCAGAGUCUCCCCUUCCUCCUCCUGGGCACUCCAUUCUUCUGGUUCUUCUCUCCCAGUGAUCUCACACCGUCUCACCAGUUAAAAAAAAACAAUGCUCUUGGAUGCCAAUGUUUAUGUCUCUAGCCCAGAACUUUUUCUGAGCUUCUAGCUAAUACAUGCAGCUACCAGCCUGUGGGUACCUCACAGGCAUCUACUCGUCACAGCCACAGCAGAUGUCUUGGCUUCCCUGCUCCACUGUAACUGUUCCUUCCCUGCCUGCUCUUUUCCAUUUCAGAAAAUGGCACCACUUCCAAUCCAGCUUCUCAAAGCUGGAACCCAGGGCUGUAUCCUAGAUUUCUCUCUUUUACUCAGUUGCUUCUGCCUUCUCGAAUGCCUCCACUGCUCUCCUGCCCCCACCUCCAGCACACCCCACCAAGGAGAGCCUCCCACUCCCUUCCCAUUCCACACCUGACCCUUCCCACACCCUCCUCCACACGGCAGCCAGAUGUGGACCUGCCAUGACUCAGAGAGAAUCCAAGCUCCUCCACGCCAGGCACAGGUGUCUUCUCUGGGUGCCAUCCCCAUCCUGCCUACCUCUCCAACCUCAGCUUCUGCUGCUGUCUGCAGCAUCCUCGCUGUAUUUAAGGCUGCAGAGUCAUGGAAGGGACCUGAGUGUGGUGUCACCUCUUCCUGACGUCAGAAUGAAUUCAGUUAAUCUCAGGAACAUUCUACAGUGGGAGUCACCUGCUUUUGCCAAAGGGAGUUUGACUUUCAUGGCUCAGUAAUCGUAGGCAGGGGUAGGGGGAUCUUGGCAGGAAGGUGUCAGAGGAUGGUGGCCCUGGGCUGGUCAAUGGGCUGUACCAUUUAAGAGAGAGUCUGACUGCUGUCACCCACAGGCCCGUGACAGCCCACAUGAGCCUCCCUCCUGGCCUUUUUCUUUCUGCCCAGGAAAUUCUUAUAGUCAGCUUUUCCUUUUUCCUUUUUCUUGCUGUGGCUCCUAGUUAGACAAUUUAUCACAGAGCUGCAAGUGGACAUAAACAUUUUAUCCUGUACAUGUAGACACAGUCAGUGAGUUUAAUACUAUGGAGAACAUUGCUCAUUUGCCUCAAUUUACCUUUUUUAGAGAGAAAUAUCCCUGAGAUCAUUGCCAGUUAUAGGAGUAACAUGGUUAGAGGUGAGAGGUUCAUCUUUCGAAAUUUUCCAGGAAAACCGAGGUCUACUCAAGGAGUCACUGUCCACAGACACUUACCUGCAAUGCUCCAUAUCUAAAAAGCUCUGAAAACCAAGUGUAGUUUUUCCCUCCUUCCUUUGGUGGCAAAGCUAGAACUGAACUCAUUUGAUGGCAAGCCCUUACCUGGCCCGAAGGUAUUUGUGGCAAAUGUGACCCAAACUGAUGUAAAUCCGCUUAUAGUUUGAAUUUUUCCUUUUAGUGUGACUAUUCAAAACUUCUAUCUCAGAAACGUUAAUAUGCUUGAUUUGAUUGCAUCUGAAAUCUUUUUCACUUUAAGAGCUCGUUCUUAGUCUCCAAUUGCUCUGGGGAACCUGUGGUGUAGUUCCAAGUCGAGUCUGAAGGCCUGAGGACCAGGAGAGCUGAUGGUGUAAGUUCCACUCCACGCGCAGGAGGAAAACCAAUGUCCUAGCUUGAAAAAAGGCAGAGGGAAUGAAUUCUCUUUUAGUGAAUUCUCUCUUUGUUCUAUUCAAGCCUCCGAUGGAUUAGACGAGGCCCCCCCACAUUGUGGAGGGCGACUUGCUUUACUCCGUCUUCGGAAUCGAAUGUUCAUCUCAUCCGGAAACAUCCUCACAGACACGCCCAGAAUAGCGUUGAGCCAAAUAUCUGGGCACCUCCUGUCCCAGUCCAGUUGACACAUAAAAGUCACCAUCACAUUCGUCUCCCUUCACUAAAACAGAAGCCCUAUGAAGGCAGGGACUCUAUCCGUUUCCUUCUCUGUGGUGUCCCCAGCACCUAGAAUUCCACCUGGCUCCAAGUGGCUGCUUAGUAACUGGUUCUUGAGCGAAUGGAUGAAACUAACCCAUCUCUCCCUGGAUUGAGGGUCUGGAGGCCCGGGAUGGUGCAUGUUCAGUGGGUUUGUGCCUAAGCUGGGACUCAACCCAGGGCGCUGUUAUCUAUUGCUGCAUCAAACUUAAUAGCUUCAAAUGACGUUUAUUAUGUCAUAGUUUCUGCAGGUCAGGAAUCAGGCGCAGCUUAGCUGGCCCUGGCCUCUCUGUUCAAGGUCUCUCGCGGUGUCGGCCAGGGCUGCAGUCCACUGGGGGCAAAUCCACUUUUAAGUUCACGUGGUUGUUGGCCGAAUUCUGUUCCUUUAGGGUUGUUAGAUUGAGGACCUCAAUUCUGUGCUGCCUGUUGGCUGGAGGCGGCCUCAGGUCCUUGCCACGUGAGCCUUUCCGCUGUGGGAGGUUGCUUCCUCCAAGGGUGCCAGCUGAGAAGGCAGCGGAGAGAGCCUGCUAGCAAGAUGGAAUCAUAAUCAUCCGUAACCGAAAUACGGAAGCAGCAUCCAUCACCUUCGUCACAUUCAAUUGAGUCAUAGGUACUGUCCACACUCAGAAGGAGGGGAUUACUCAAAGCUAUGAAGACUAAGAGAUGGGGAGCAGGUGGCCAUCUCAUCUUUGAGUCUGCCUGUCACAGGUGGGUAGGCGCACAGACUCUGGAGCCAGGGUUCAAAUCCCUGCUCUGUCACUUCUUUCCUGUGUGAUCUUAGGUAAGUUACUUAACCUCUCUGUACUUUAGCUUCAACCUUUGAAAAAUUAGGCAAAUAAUAGUAUCUGCUUCAUAAGGUUGUUGUGGGAAUUAAAUAAGGAUACAGAAGUGCUUAGAACAGGGCCUGCACACGGAAGAGCUAAGUAACAAUUGGCUGUUACUCCUGCUCCUUUGGGCAGGCGUGCAGCGUAACCCUUAAAGGAAGUGCAGUGAAAGCUGCCCCGUGUUUCCUCCUUCUGUGGGAUUGUUCAGUCCAAUCUAGACCCUGUUCAUGCCACAAUUUCUCCUGCUUAGAGACUUUACCCCCAUAGGUUGAACUUUCUGAGAAUUUUUGAGUCAUAAACCAAGGGCAAUAAAUCUGGGAUCAUCAAAUGCCAGCUCGUGGGUUAGUGGCUGCUUAACGAAGAGUUCUGAUGGGCGUGGAAACAGAGGCGUGGUGUGGUGUCUGAUGGCCCAGAUCUGAUCGUUGAGGUAACCAGGAGACGGAACGUGAACUUGACUCAGGAAGAAAAUUACAUUGAGUUUCUGCUGCAUGAGACAGACUUCUUCUUUUGUUUUUCAAGGAAGUGAACUGGCUGGAGCAUGGUCUGAACUCGGGAGCUCAAGAUACAGACCGCAAGCUGUCUGUCCUUAAGCACUAAGAAGAGGUUAUAACUGGUCAGCGGGAAGCGAGACAGCCUUUCACUGCUGUGUGAGUUUCCUGGCUGCCUGAACACAUUACCGCAAGCAGAGUGGUUUGAAACAGAAAUGCAUCCUCUGACACAUCUGGAGACUAGAAGUCUGAAAUCAAGCACUGAAGUCCUCAGAAAUCUGGAGCCACGGACAACUUAUUGUGUUCCAGUCCUAGGAUUUAUUCUUGAUUAGGACAAAGUCAUGGAAUGGAGUGAGCCUGUCUAUGAGCAAACAACCGAUGGUGAUGAGUCCUGAGAUGCACCACCUGUCACUGCUUCCUUUAGGCUUUUUAAACAGCUGUGUAGACUCCCAAUGGGUGUUUGAGUUGGAAGCCUCCUUAGACAUCAUUGCGUCCAGCUCAAACUCCAACCCGGUUCACCCCUGGCUGAUCGGCUUCAUGCUGGGAAGGAGACCACCACCUUCUGAGCCAGCUCGUCCGCUUGUAGACCCAAGGGAUUGAUGGACACGUCUCUGUCCACGGUGCCGAAGUCUCCCUCGGUGCGCCCACCUCCGCUGGUCUGCCUUCUCAUCAGUCUUCCACAAGACAGCCCGGGAAAUCUUCAGCCCCCGACCCCCGAUUGUAUUCCCAGUUCCUUUAAAAAAAAAAAAAACAAAACUCCCUAUCCUGUCACCCUGCUCACAAUGUGCACAGGUUUUCAGGGUGGUACCAAGACUUAUAUAUAAUUUUCCAUAUAUGGUCUGACACAGGCCCUGGACACUUAGUAUUUCUCUUCCUUUUUGUUUCAAACUUUUUAUUUUGAAAUAACGUGAAACUGAUAGGGAAGUUGUAGAAACCAUACAAAGAACUCCUCUGUGCUCUUAACCCAGGUGCACUGAUUGGUACUUGGUGUUUUUAGAAAACAGGACGGGCCCGUGACAAGGCUGUGAGGGUUCAGCAGAUCGUCUGUGUGGCCUGUGCACUGGGAUUCAGGGAAUGCGGUCGCAAGUUGCAUAACUUUUGGGGGACCUGUCACACACAGUUACCAUGGGCUGG
rnacentral:lncRNA from 1 species